AUGGAAAGCUCCGAGUUAUCAAAAAAAAAGAUGGAAAGCUCCGAUUUGUCUCUCUCUCAAAAAAAAAAAGAGAUGGAAGCUCCGAUACGAACCAAUCUCGAAAUCGAAAACGGAAACAAGUAUGGCAGUCCUACUCCGGCCAGGACACGGUCACCCAUGGCGACGAUUAAUACCAACACAUGGCCGCGCGCACAUUCAGAUGUCAGCCGAUCGAUCUCGGGAGCAAGUGCAAGCUUGAUGGCGUGGCUUGCCAUGGACGUCGGCGAGGACUACCUGCAUCUGCCGCAAGACCACGACGAGGACUACCUGCAUCUGCCGCACGACCACGACUACGACGAGUACACGAGGGAAGCGCUCUCCGCCGCCGAAGCGCUGCUGUUCCUGCACCCGCGGCCGCCGGGCGCCGCGGAAUACGCGGCCGGCAUCAUCCCACGCGUCGGCGUCGCGGCUGCUCCACGCGACUCGGAGUUGGCGGCGGCGGUGGCAAAAGCGCUGACGACAGUGGACGGGCCGUCCGACGACCGCGGCUGCCCGAUCUGCAUGGACGACGACGAAGUGGCGUGGAAGGAGACGAAGCCGUGCGGGCACCGGUUCCACGGACGGUGCGUGGAGCCGUGGCUCAAGGCCAAGGGGAGCUGCCCCAUGUGCCGGCGCCAGGUGGUGGCGAGGCCGACGCAGAGCAGUUCAUGGACGAUUCUCUCCAGCGGUAGACGCUUGCCCUCGUCGUGA
rnacentral:rRNA from 1 species